rnacentral:rRNA from 1 species
CCCUUAGAUGUUCUGGGCUGCACGCGCGCUACACUGAUCAGUGCAACAAGCAUCCGUCCUUGGCCGACAGGCCCGGGCAAUCUUUGAACGCUGAUCGUGAUGGGGAUAGACUUUUGCAAUUUUUGGUCUUCAACGAGGAAUUCCUAGUAAACGCAAGUCAUCAACUUGCAUUGAUUACGUCCCUGCCCUUUGUACACACCGCCCGUCGCACCUACCGAUUGAAUGGUCCGGUGAAGCCUCCGGAUUGGCGUGCACCCUCGGGUGCUGCCGAGAAGUUGGCUAAACCUUACCAUUUAGAGGAAGGUGAAGUCGUAACA